rnacentral:rRNA from 1 species
CCUACGGGGGGCAGCAGUGAGGAAUCUUCCACAAUGGGCGAAAGCCUGAUGGAGCAACGCCGCGUGAAGGAUGAAGGCCUUCGGGUUGUAAACUUCUUUUAUGAGUGAAGAAUAUGACGGUAACUCAUGAAUAAGCACCGGCUAACUACGUGCCAGCAGCCGCGGUCAUACGUAGGGUGCGAGCAUUAUCCGGAGUGACUGGGCGUAAAGAGUUGCGUAGGCGGUAAGUCAAGUGAAUAGUGAAACCUGGUGGCUCAACCAUACAGACUAUUAUUCAAACUGGCUUACUCGAGAGUGGUAGAGGUAACUGGAAUUUCUUGUGUAGGAGUGAAAUCCGUAGAUAUAAGAAGGAACACCAAUGGCGUAGGCAGGUUACUGGACCAUUUCUGACGCUAAGGCACGAAAGCGUGGGGAGCGAACCGGAUUAGAUACCCUUGUAGUC